rnacentral:rRNA from 1 species
UAGUCUACGCCGUAAACGAUGGUUACUAGCUGUUUGGAAUUUAUUCUGAGUGGCUAAGCGAAAGUGAUAAGUAACCCACCUGGGGAGUACGUUCGCAAGAAUGAAACUCAAAGGAAUUGACGGGGGCCCGCACAAGCGGUGGAGCAUGUGGUUUAAUUCGAUGAUACGCGAGGAACCUUACCAGGGCUUAAAUGUAGAUUGACAGGUUUAGAGAUAGACUUUUCUUCGGACAAUUUACAAGGUGCUGCAUGGUUGUCGUCAGCUCGUGCCGUGAGGUGUCAGGUUAAGUCCUAUAACGAGCGCAACCCCUGUUGUUAGUUGCCAGCGAGUAAUGUCGGGAACUCUAACAAGACUGCCGGUGCAAACCGUGAGGAAGGUGGGGAUGACGUCAAAUCAUCACGGCCCUUACGUCCUGGGCCACACACGUGCUACAAUGGUAGGUACAGAGAGCAGCCACUUAGUGAUAAGGAGCGAAUCUAUAAAACCUAUCUCAGUUCGGAUCGGAGUCUGCAACUCGA